AUUUGUUGUCUGUGUGAGUUUAUAGUAUCACGCUCUAGAUCAACACUAGAAACAAUGGGUUCCUCUUCCCAGAAACACUUGGUCUACCAGGAGACACUCUGACGCACACACCACGACCUGGCUGGGAUCAGCAAGGCCUCAUCCUGCCGUUACUAUACCUGCACACACCUAUGCAGGCACGCAGGUUCUCAUCCACAUCACAAUGGAUGCUUUCAUUAGCCAAACAUCUUGGGAAGAAUCUUCAGGCAUGGCGAAUCCAGGCCUGACACUGGUCUGCCGUGAUGUCAUUGUAUGCGUCAUCCAUGGCCUGGAGAAGGGUGGCUUGUUCCUGAGGGCGCCUAUCAUAUACCUUCCAACUCCAUGUGGAGAAAAAAAAUCCUCAAUCGGGUUAAGGAAAGGAGAGUAUGGGGUGAGAGGCCUUGGCAUUUCAACCACCACAACAAGGCUGUGACCUUUGCAGCCAUCUCCACCUCCUGCCAUCCCUACUGGGUUUUGAAGGGACUGAAGCCUGUUGUUUUCGUUUGUAGCACUUCAUUCGAAGGAUACCUACAAGGAUUUCAUAUCCCGUUCCUAAGCAGUACACGUUUAUAUAUGUGUUAACAGCACACUGCUGCUAAUAUACUGCAACCCACAAGGGUACAUGAAGACGCAAUGGCUAAAUGUGGUGUAAGUUUCGGGAAGCAUCUGGUUUUGAACAUGAUUGGAUGUAUAAACAGUUUGUGAUGUGAUCUGAGAACAGCUUGAUCAUAAACAUAUGUCCAGACCAGUACAUACUGUAUGGUUAUUCAGUUAGGGGGGGAAUUCAGACCCGAGAUUAAGCGCGUGUAAAUGGAACAUAAUUCCUUUUGAAUGCGCUUUUCUCUCUAUGUGUAUUCUGACCUUGAAUUUAAGCAUGAGAAUAGCAUGCCAUUCACACGCUAUUCGUUUGAGGUGGAGCUGG
rnacentral:lncRNA from 1 species